UAUUGUUGUUUGAUGGAAGUAUGUUUUUUUUAGGGUAACUUGCUAAGUGGUAACUAAUAACUACCACAAGUUUUUACAGCCAGUGGAAAGGCUUGAGGUUUCUUCUAAGACAAUGAAAGAACUUGGUAUGACAGAUUAAUAAAGGCAGCAUGUGGUCUAUUAUAUGAACAGUAGACUUUAAGGAGACAGGGAGGGUGGAGAGGGACCAAGUAAAACAUUUCUACAAUGGCUCAAGUCAAAGUUGAUUAUGACAUAGACAAAGACAAGAAAUAAAUAGAAGUUAUCAAAAAGGCUUGGUUUGGAAGAUCUCUUAGAGAUAGGAAUGAAAAGAGGGGGGUGGUGGGAGAAAGAACUACAGAAAUGUUCCAGAUUUACUACUCGAUAUAUAUUUUUAAAAAAAUUCUCCAAAGCUCAGAAUAGAGAAUUUGCCAAAAAGCCCAUCACUCAUGAUUCAUUUGUCAUAAGCCUCUACUCAUUACCAUGAAAUUAUUCAGUCAUAAUUGCUGUCUUACUGAAGCAUACAGUUGACACAGUGAAGUCUCUGCUUUCACAGAACUUUAUACUUCUGAGUAAUGACUUUGUCUAUGCCAUGGGAUGGACGUCCUAUUCAUAUUGUGUCAAUAAACCUCAAUUAACAAUGUAAAAUUAAUGAAAAUAAUGUGAGUUAUUUAUAUUAGUUUAUGUGGUAGAAGAGUACUUAAUGACAACAAACUUGGUGUAUGUGAAUAUUAAAUUAUUGUAAAUUAUUUAAAAACAAUAAGAACUAGCCUUACAUUUCACCCCCCUGGACACUGUUUUCAAGAGAAGGAAGGAAACAUUCAAGAAAAAAUAAGAUAUAACUUAGCAUAAAUAAACAGAAAGAAUAUAAAUCUCUUUCACUUUUCUUUUUUUUAAUUUGGCAAUAGAACUGUUGAUAUUACCACACUAUCUGGCUCUCUCUUUUUCCUUUAUCAGUAAACUACCCACAUUUUAACUGGGCACAUUCCUGUCAAUCUGAUGAGAAUCUAUUUCAUACCCUGCUUUAGCUGGUAGUCUGUCAAGGAAAUGAGCUGAACAUGUCUGUGUACAGCUUUUGUGCCAUCCCUGGAUGAGCGAGCUGUCUGCCUCUAUGUUCUCCACAAAAUGGAAUAUAGCUGUACACCCAAGCCAAGUUAUGGAGGCUGGGAAGACCUAGAAUGUGGCAUCACUAUUUGCUGAAAUUUUUAAUAUAAUGCCUCUUAGCCUGGUUUGGAGAAAACGUCACAGAGAGGCACCAUUUGUUGUGGUUUUACAUGAAAAUUUUCUGACCCUGAACCUGGUUUGAUGGAAAUCAUUUGCUGAGGAAACCAUGCCGAUUACCGACCGAGCUCUCAAUGGAAAAAUGCAGUCGGCGUGAACCACGCACGAACACAGCAGAGAAAGAAGAAAACACACACCACGAGGAACCCUAAUAGGACAAUACAUUAUAAGCCUCAUGGUACAUCCACUUGGUGUGCUGGGAGAGUCAGGAUGAGGACCUGAGAAGAACAGCAGCUUGAACCUGACUUCAUUUAACAGCCCACUGCCCUCUUGCCAAGAACCCAUCACAGACCUUCCCAGAAGAGAGGGAUGAGCCUCACCUAUGAAUAAGUCCUCAGAAACUCAAAUUUGAUUCUAAUGGAUUGUUUUCUCAGAAAGACUGAGCAUGUCCCCCCACAUCUCUGUCAUUUCCCACAGUAGUAACCUCUGCAGAUGCCACAUAGAAAACAAAACAAAACAAAAAAACAUGAGGUUGGUGGGCAGAUAGGCAGGGUAUAAACAAACAGCCUUGUAACCCAGAAGCUGUGUGAUAUACAGUAAACUUCACAACACUGAAAAGAUGUCCUAUCUGUUAAAAUGGGGUAAUAACAACUACCCGAAUGUUUAGGAAUAGAACUUCAAUAAAUGAUACAUUUUAUAGUACAGCAGACCAUCCUGUAAAGGUUUCAUCCUUCACUGUGGUGAUAAAUAUCCCAAACCACAUUGAAAAGCAUUGCAUCUACAUUUAUCUACACUGUAACUGUACUGUAAAUCAUGGGGGAGGGGAGAAUCAUAAAAACACCACCUGUCACCGUGUCAUUAAAGCAAGUUGGAAGUGAUACUUACAGAAACACAGCAAGAGCACCCCCAGUCACACAGUUCAAUCUCUUAGCAAGCGUUUUCUUUCUAGCCCAGUGGUUCUCAGUUUGGAAUUUUUGGCACUGCCUAGAGAUAGUUUUGUUGUUAAAACUGAGAAAAGAGCCGGGCGUGGUGGCACACGCCUUUAAUCCCAGCACUCAGGAGGCAGAGGCAGG
rnacentral:lncRNA from 1 species